AGGGUUUGAUCCUGGCUCAGGACGAACGCUGGCGGCGUGCUUAAUACAUGCAAGUCUAAGGGUUUGUCUUCCUUCGGGAAGACAGACACUGGCGCACGGGUGAGUAACACGUAAGUCAUCUGCCCUUGGGUCUGGCACAACUCCGGGAAACCGGGGCUAAUUCCAGAUGAUACCGAAAGGUCAAAGUUUCGACGCCCAAGGAUGAGCUUGCGUCUGAUUAGCUAGUUGGCGGGGUAAUGGCCCACCAAGGCGACGAUCAGUAGCCGGUCUGAGAGGAUGAUCGGCCACAUUGGGACUGAGACACGGCCCAGACUCCUACGGGAGGCAGCAGUAAGGAAUAUUGCGCAAUGGACGAAAGUCUGACGCAGCAACGCCGCGUGCAGGAUGACGGCCCUUUGGGUUGUAAACUGCUGUAGCAGGGGAAUAAGAGCCCACUCGGUGGGUGUGAAGGUACCCUGAAAGUAAGCUCCGGCUAACUACGUGCCAGCAGCCGCGGUAAUACGUAGGGAGCAAGCGUUGUCCGGAUUCACUGGGUGUAAAGGGUGCGCAGGCGGGUUGGCAAGUCAGAGGUGAAAUCUCACAGCUUAACUGUGAAACUGCCUUUGAUACUUCCAAUCUUGAGUUAAAGAGAGGUUGAUGGAAUUUCAGGUGUAGCGGUGAAAUGCGUAGAUAUCUGAAAGAACACCAGUGGCGAAGGCGGUCAACUGGCUUUUAACUGACGCUCAGGCACGAAAGCGUGGGUAGCGAACAGGAUUAGAUACCCUGGUAGUCCACGCCCUAAACGAUGAAUACUUGGUGUUGGACCGUAAGGUUCAGU
rnacentral:rRNA from 1 species